GUGGCCUUUUUCCGCAGCACGAACUUGGCACCCCGGCCUUCGGGCGGUUAUUUUUGGGAGCGGCUUUGCCCGCGGCCUAUUUUUGGCACACGGAGGCCCCUCGCAAAGUCUCGCGGCAUUCCGAGUCCGGCGGACGAAGUUCGCCAACCCCACCCCCCAAGGCUAUAGCCCACCCAUUUUUGUGGCCUUGUUCCGCUGGACGAACUUGGCGCCCCGCCCUUCGGGCGGUUAUUUUUGGACGCGGCUUGGGCCGCGGCCUAGUUUUGGCAUACGGAGGCCCAUCGGAAUGUCUCGCGGCAUUCCGAGUCCGGCGGACGAAGUUGGCCAGCCUCACCCCCAAGGCUAUACCCCACCCGUUUUUGUGGCCUUUUUCCGCUGGACGAACCUGGCGCCCCGGCCUUCGGGCGGUUAAUUUUGGGCGCGGCN
rnacentral:lncRNA from 1 species